GACCACUGGCACUACAUGGACUUUUCCUUGGGUCAGAGUAAUUGCUCUCGCUCCGAGCAGCUAAGCAGACCCCAUGAAUUAAAAAGCAGCUGAGGAGACCUUCCCCUCCAUCACGGCUGUCACAAACGCUUCUUGUCGUCAGGCAUUGUGUGGCUCCCCAGAGCUUGUUGCUAGGCAACCCACCUCAAUUAAUAUGCGAGGCAGAAAGAGCAGGGAAUGCCUGGGCUCCUAGAGCGGGACAGCGGCGUGGUAUGACUAACUAACGGAAUGGGUUCAUUCAAUGUGGCAUCCGGGAGACAUUUAGCACUUCGCUCCUAAACUAAUGCCGCUGCUCGCAGACGGAAAAGUGUACCAGUGGAGGAAAUAAUGCUUCAAGUUCUCCAGCCAACAAUACCACAGAUUUUCUCUGUGUGCUGAUUUCUGUAUUUCUUUGUAUUGUUUAUUUAUUUAUCUAUCUAUCUAUUUAUCUAUCUAUCGAAGAAGCUUGUUACUCCCUUAGAGAACACGUUAUCUCCAGGUGCUCCACACAAAGCUGCAGAAUUGACGUCGGGAUCUAAGGAAACAGCAGCUUCUGUGCUGAUGAGCUUUGACAGGCUGGCCAGCUCUUGAUCGUCAGUGAAGGCGCAAUAGUUAGUAAACAGCAACCUCAAGCUGGCUUCCCAAAAGAGCGUUGCUCUCCUCUGCUCGAAGCACCUGAAGCAGUCCAAGCCGACAUGCGAGGGGCUACACGCGCACUGAGAGUGAAGUGUUCUUCCGAGAGGUCGAAGCUGCUACUUCCAAGUUGAAACUCUCCCCAAAACAGAGAGAGGGAUAAAAACUGGCAAACAGGAAGAAAAGAAGCAAAGCAAAGAGAAUGAACGCUGCCAGCUUCGUGGUUGUUUCUGUGAGACUUGGACGUGGUAUGGAUUCGGCCCCGCUUGGAGUCCGUGCUCUGCCUCUGCUGUAGUCCCGAUGAUCGACGCGGUUAGACUGAAGGGGAAGCUGCAGAAAAACUCUCUGUGAAAAUGAUAAACACUGCUGCUGUUGAUGAAGAACGAUGCAACCAAGAAAAGGAGAGCAAAGAGGAAUCAAUACUGGCGAUGCUCGGGAUUAUUGGAACCAUCCUGAACUUAAUUGUUAUCAUUUUUGUGUAUAUAUACACCACAUUAUGAGCCAACAGAAUGAUCUGCCUGGGUCAGCACACCAGCAGGUGGACCGCUUUGGUGAAAAUGCCUAAAUGAAUACUUUUGCAGUUAUUGACAAUUUUCCUUAUUAAGAUGAAGCCAGAUGCAAAUGACGGCAACAAACGCCCUAAUGGAUUUUACAAGGGUUUUCCAUUUCUGCGAAGAAAAAAAUGUACAUUACAUGGAGCACAAAUAAAGCAGAUGAAGGAUCAGUUCAGUAUUCUUUGCCAGCAAACAUGCAUGAAUUACAAAACAUGUCUCAUUUGUAAUGAAAAUGACUACAUGGUUAAACCGUCUUGUCAGUUAUCAAUUUCCUGUGUAGACUAUUACAUCAUGGUAUGUAUGGAAAUAUGUCAAAAGCAUCAGUAGAAAAUGUUAUGAGGAUGAAGGGGAAGGAAGAAGGAAUGGCAGCAGGCCUUGGUGUGCAAAACACUGAUGAACCGACACAGUGAAAGAAUGACCUAGCAACAGUUUAGUCAGUCGGACAUUUGCUCCUUUUUAAUAACUGUGUGAAUAUAUUGUAAGAUAUUUUGUUUAUACUAAAAUGAUUUUGAUAUGUCAAAUAAAUCAAUACAAAACAAAUGAAAAGAACAGUAACUGAGCCCCUGAACAAACACCCCGAUUUCUAUAUCUGACUGAAUGUUUUCCAAAAGGCGUGAUGUAAAUAAGACUUUCAUACUGAAGCAGCCUCGUGGCUGGAUGUAUUUGCAGGAUUUAUUACCAAGUGGACUCAGUUCCAUAACUGCCUUAAAACCAAACUGUUCAGAGUGGUGAGAUGUAAACCAGUGAGAACAAAAUUAUACAAAAUAAAUUAACAUUUUUAAUUAAA